GGCGACUCACCUUCGUCCAGCAGCCGCUCGAGGUGGUUGAAGAUCCCGCAGAAGUUGGGCAGGCUGCUCAUGAGCUUCUUGUCGUUCAUCAGCUGCAUCAGUUGUGGGCUGACCCAGGGUUGCAAACGUGAGGUCCCAGCAACUGUUGGCGGCAUUGUGCCAGGUCAAGGGUGUCCUCAAGCACCUGGCAUGGGCGGCUGCAGCCAGCAGCACAGAGUCAAAAGGCGGCCUCAGAUCUUCAUGCUAAUGAAACCUCACAGUUUGUUCUAUCUGGGCCUCAUCUGCACAGCAACCAGAAGCUUCCAUGGCCCAGCAGUUUCAACCAAAUAGUUCAGGAGCCAGUAUUCACCCGUUGCAAUGUGAACGAGGGAAUCCAGGCCCUGCUCAGCAAGGACACCGUGGCUCUGCAAUGAUCUGUAGGAUUUGUGCUGCAGAAUAAUUCUUGCUGGAUUCAAGAAAUAACAGGCUGGUUCUUGUCACCAUCUUCAUAGGAUACAGAAAGGGGUGAGAAAUCCUGCCUCAGACCCCACACCGCUGUUCUAGCUGAAGUCUCCAACUUCUCUUUAAACAUCAGGAAGCCUUUCGUACACACUUUUGUGACAAACUGAAAAUUAGUUGUUGAUUGUUAAUAUUUAUUCUCUGUUUUCACAUUAGAUUAAAAUACAGAACAUACUCUUUCAUCCCACCCCCCAAAAUACCUGGUUACUUGAUUCUCAGUUAUUUGAAGUCCAGAUAAUAACUGACUCUAGUCUAUUUAUGUAACUAUUGUUAUCAUCUAAGUAUUAAAUAUUCUUAGCUUACAGAGUGUCUUUAAAUCUGUUUCAUCAGUUAAAAAGCAAGAUAAACAUGCACACAGAAAUCUUUGACAGUCUUUCAUCUGAUACACUGACAGAGAAUUGUAUUAGCUCAGCAUUAUUUCACAGUCAUUUAUUACUUACUUGCUUGAAUUGCAUAGGCACUUGGCUAGAUCAAAGUUUAAAGGAACUAUAUCUAGGUUUUAAAGAAAAAUUUAGUGAAAUGUUCACAAAAUUGUUCCAAAUUCCCCCAGAAAAAGAAGUUCGUUGCUUGGAAGGUAUUUCAGAAGGAUAUUGUGUGUACAACUUGGGAAAUCAGUGUGAGUAUUCAGUAAAUGUUUUUAAAUGAAUGUUGCAUGGCUCUGAUCAAAAAAUUAAACACACAUAAAUUUUGUCAUCAAUUUAUGUGUAUUAAAUGAAUACACAUAAAUAAAACUCUUACCCCUAUUGGUGGUAUGUAUAUUGCUCCAGCCCAACUUGCAUCCCACACUUCAAGCUGCUGGAUGCUCUGUGAGUGGGAUCAUAUCACUGUAAGUCUGCCUCAUGUAUGGGAACCACCCGUCACUCAUCACCAGGUCUGGGCUAAGACCAGCAUCUUUCACUUGGACACGCGACAGGAAACAGUAGGGCUGGCUGAAUAUAUACACCACACUAGAAGGCCAUGACCUGCAUGGAGAAAGUUGAGGGUCUUCAAAAAAGAUUUCUUUUGACUGAGAAUACAUUCCUCACCAGUAUACUUUACUUCUUAAAAUUCCUACUAGUCAUACGUCUUCAAAAAACGUGUAUAGUAUGUUCAGGGAGGAUGCCAUCAGUUGUUAAAUUCUGACUGAAAUUAUUAUAGUGGAUUCCCGUUAGCAGAGGGGAAAAAAAAAAUCUGUGUUUUGAAACACAGAAUACACUAAGGGAGGAAAAGUUCAGUCCCUUGCAACAGUGUCCUAUAGAGGAACAGACAAGAAUGUACUAGAAUGUGCUAGAACAUGGUUCCCUGGGAACCUGAUACAUAUUUGCAGUGGCAGAGACUAGCACAUAAAGGAUACGUUAGCAGGGUUGACAAAGGUGAGGACGAACUUUGUACUGUAUAGAAGUUUGUCCCUGAAAUGAAAAGUAUUUUUUUACCUACAAAAUUUCAAAAUAUGCCUUAAUGAUAUAAUCCACUCCUAAAGCAAGGAAACAGACAUUCUCAUACUCUAAUAAAUUGAUAGAAGAUUUCUACAAGGCAAUUUGAUAAUAUAUAUCAAAAGAUUUAGAAGUUUGUGUGUCUUUGGGCUAUAAUUUCACUUCUAGAAACUUAUUUUGUAUAAAUAAUCAUAGAUGGGGAAAGAUAUAGCAAUAUUAUUUCUAAUG